UGAAUUCUCUGUGUAUCCAAACAGCCCAUGCUUAACGCUGUUUUGCAUAGCGCUAUUUUGCUAUAACGCGGAUUUUAAAUUGAUACCUAAUUUCACUUAGUGCACAGCAAGUUUCGCUAUAAUGCUCACAGUCACCUUCUUGGGUCAUGAAAAACACUUGUGGCUGCCAUCUUGGGUCAUCAAAUACUUUUAGUUUCAUUUAAUGCUCAUUUUGCUUAACACUUGGCUUUUCAGGAACCAAUUAAGAAC